GACAGAGGGGGCAAGCGUUGCUCGGAAUUACUGGGCGUAAAGAGCUCGUAGGCGGUUUGUUGCGUCGGCUGUGAAAUCCCGAGGCUCAACCUCGGGUCUGCAGUCGAUACGAGCAAACUAGAGUGUUGCAGGGGAGACUGGAAUUCCUGGUGUAGCGGUGAAAUGCGCAGAUAUCAGGAGGAACACCGGUGGCGAAGGCGGGUCUCUGGGCAACAACUGACGCUGAGGAGCGAAAGCGUGGGGAGCGAACAGG
rnacentral:rRNA from 1 species